UAAUUGAAGAGUUUGAUCAUGGCUCAGAUUGAACGCUGGCGGCAGGCCUAACACAUGCAAGUCGAGCGGCAGCACAAGUAAGUUUACUUAUGAGGUGGCGAGCG
rnacentral:rRNA from 1 species